rnacentral:lncRNA from 1 species
CUGUAAUAGAAUAUUAUGAGCUACUGAGUACGAAACAUUUCCCAAAUCUGUUGAAUCUGCGUCAACCGCGAAUACUGACCUCAUGUCGGACCAACAGAUUGGAGAUAAGUGAAAUAAAAGUAGUAAUACGUUAUACUUGUCUGCCGCCUGAGUGUCUAGACUCCAUUCCCGUUUUCUAUCAAGUCUCAACUCUUGCUACGUCUCUAACGUGAGAGGGGAGUAAGGGCGGAGGGUAGCGUGAUCCAGAGUGAUCUCGUCGUCAUUUGUUUCCCGUCACCCACGCAGUCCCGCAGGGUCGUAACAUUCGUCACGUGAUCAAAGUCUCUAUAGCCGCUCUGUUUUUUUUUUUUUUUGUUUUUGGUUGUUGUUGUUGUUAGUUUUUUUUUUAUUUUUUUUUAAUUUCUGUUUCGACUGCAACUGAUUGCAACUCCUGCAAGCUGUUGCUACUGCGCAUUUUCCCACUUAACUUAGUUUAUAAUAAGGUCGUCGUUGCACUUGCCGCUCCAUUGACGGUUUGGCAACCCGACCCUAUUUAGUACGUAUACCGGUACGCAGUAUAAUAUAUCCACGCGUGAUGCGAUCUGGACUUCUGACAUCAAUUCGCUUUUUAGGACGGCCGGAAAGAUUUACUUUGGCUGCGGAUGAUCACGAUUUCGACGUUCGAGAAUCUUGAAUACGCCCGUCGACGUCCCACGUCCGUAUAGCAUUGGAUGUUUUCAACAUUUUGCUGCAAUAGUUUUCAACAAAUGGAAAUGAAAUUCGGAUAAGGGUUUUGCGUCAUCAAAAGAACCCAAUGUCAAAGAGGAUAAGAUUUCAUUUUAUUUAUGACUCCGCUCGAAACAAAGGCGCCCUCGCUGUUCCGGAUUUUGUUGAAAAGGAUAUAUACGUACAAACGAUGGAGUACAAUAUCAAAAAGAAAAAAUAAUUGCAACAGAGAAAUACGAAGAGCCUGACUGUGGUCCUUACGGUUGAUUUCGAUUACUAAGUAGCAUUGCAUGCAUGACUAGCGAUGACUAGCAGAUAAUACAACCUGCUAUAAAUAAGUAAAAAGUAAAGUUCUUCGUGCUGUUCAAAUAAUAACCUGAUAACUUCAUAACCUAAUUCAACGUUCCGAUUUUUUCUCACAGAGUUAUACUGACUGGUGGUUUCACUUGUACUCUGAGAUGACAUGAAUAAAGAAAUAUAGCCUGGCAUGCCUCCGCUUUUCCGUGAAGUGAAGUUUCCGUGAAGAUCGAGUAUCAGGACUUCAGGACUUCAACAUAGUCUGACGAAAAAUUAUGCUGCUCUCAAUCCAAUAAAUAAGCUGACAUUAAACUUAUGUGAUCGCACUGUUAUUUCAGACCAUCACAUAUUGCGUUUUCAAACCGCUAAGAAAACUUCGUUUUGGCAAUUUCACUUAUAAUUGAUAAUUUUUUUCUGACAGAGGAAACCACCAAUUUUCAAAUUAAAAAUUGAGCUAUGUCUGCGAUCUUGAUGUGAAAUCUGAUCAAUUGUAACGUUGAGUUAAUUUGAUAAUUCAAUCAUUUUUCAUUUUUCUAAUUUUUUUCCAGUUUCAAUUUCACGCCGUACUGUACAACAGUGCACGCGUGUUAUUGGCUGGCUGCCGACAAAUACCCUGAUAUUAUUUCGAGACUAGCUAAAUAGCUAAGUAGCUAGCGUGUCCAAAUCUAAAGAUCCAUGCCAUAUCGAAUGAUUUUUUAAAAAUAUUGUCACGCUAUGUCUGUCUGAUAGAGCAGCAAUCGGUGCGGCUAUCGGAAACCUUCACCCUGCCUUCACCGUUCACCCGAGAAGAUCAAUCCAUUUCUGAAAUCUAUAUAAGCGUGAUGAUGAAAGGCCCGGAAAUAGAACUGGCAAAGGGAAACGAUUUCAGAAAGACACAUUAUGACAAAUCUAAAACGCGGCGGUCUGCGUCUUUAUCGAUCGAGCAAAAUGCGAUACCAUAUUAAACUUAGAUUUGCUCUCAAUUUUCCGCAAUUUUGAUUAGGAAAAGUCAAUUGGGUUUCAUUGAUUCCUAUAUUGACUUAUUCUUGUAUUAGGUACAAAAAUCGUACCAUAAAUAAAUUCGUACUUUCGUUCAGACAGCAGAUUUUAUAUACUUGCGAGAACAGCGAGGAGAAUAGUACCCGUGUUCUUUGCGGUUCAUAUGAUGCCGUUUGUAGUGUAUCGCAUAUUGAAAAUAAACCUUGUGGGUCAAUUUAAUAUUUUGUGAAUGUAAAUAAGUUCCGUUAGAGAGAGUAUAGGUAUAAAGUGCGCGUGUAUAGA